CUACGGGGUGCAGCAGUGGGGAAUAUUGGACAAUGGGGGCAACCCUGAUCCAGCAAUGCCGCGUGUGUGAAGAAGGCCUGCGGGUUGUAAAGCACUUUAGGUAAUGAGGAAGGUUUAGUUGUGAAUAGCAACUGAAAUUGACGGUAGUUACAGAAUAAGCACCGGCUAACUCUGUGCCAGCAGCCGCGGUAAUACAGAGGGUGCAAGCGUUAAUCGGAAUGACUGGGCGGAAAGGGUGCGUAGGUGGUUUAUUAAGUUAGAUGUGAAAUUCCCGGGCUUAACCUGGGCACUGCAUAUAAUACUGAUAAGCUAGAGUAUGGGAGAGGUAAGUGGAAUUUCCGGUGUAGCGGUGAAAUGCGUAGAUAUCGGAAGGAACACCAGUGGCGAAGGCGGCUUACUGGCCUAAUACUGACACUGAGGCACGAAAGCGUGGGGAGCAAACAGGAUUAGAUACCCUGGUAGUC
rnacentral:rRNA from 1 species